rnacentral:lncRNA from 1 species
UUGAAAAAUUGUUUAAAUUAUGUUUCUUAGUUAAUUAAAUAAUUAAUAUUUAUGUUUAAUCAGGGGUUCGUGAUAUCUGUGGCAGGGAUUUUUAAGCGAACCCAGGUAGGUGACCUAUUGCUUUAAAGUAGAAUUUUAACAUGUAUCAUGCAUAUGUUGAUGUAUGAUUUAUUAUUGGCAUUAUAUGUUAGAAUUAGAAUUAAGCAUUUAAUUUCAUAAACUAUUAAAUUAUUAUUGGCAUUAUGUGUUAGAAUUAGAAAUUAAUAUUUAAUUUCAUGAACUGUUAUGUACUUUACUAUUGGGAGUUUGUUCAUGACUUGAGUUGGAAAGUUGAUUUAUUGAUUUUUAAAAUCCGCGUGACUAUAGUCUAGGCCCCGCCAAUGGGAUGAUACGUUGGCCAUGUCAACUUGUACUGAGGAACUAGUUCCGACACCGCGACCAC